AUGAAUGCCGAGGGGUACCAGUACAGAGUGCUGUAUGACUAUAAGAAGGAGAGAGAAGAAGAUAUUGACUUGCACUUGGGGGAUGUAUUGGUUGUGAACAAAGGGUCCUUAGUAGCUCUUGGAUUCAAUGAGCCAGGCCUGAAGAAAUUGGCUGGUUAAAUGGCUAUAAUGAAACCACAGGGGAGGGGGGAGACUUUCCAGGAACUUAUGUUGAAUAUAUUGGAAGGAAGAAAAUCUCGCCUCCCACACCAAAGCCCCGGCCACCUCGGCCCCUUCCUUUUGCACCAGGUUCUUCGAAAACUGAAGCAGACGUUGAGCAACAACCUUUGACGCUCCUGGACCUUGCCGAGCAGUUUGCCCCUCCUGACGUUGCCCCCCUUCUUCUUAUCAAGCUCGUGGAAGCCAUUGAAAAGAAAGGUCUGGAGUGUUCAACUCUAUACAGAACACAGAGCUCUAGCAACCCUGCAGAAUUACAACAGCUUCUUGAUUGUGAUACGACCUCUGUGCACUUGGAAAUGAUUGAUGUGCACAUUUUAGCAGAUGCUUUCAAACGCUAUCUCCUGGACUUGCCGAACCCUGUGAUCCCAGUAGCCGUUUACAGUGAAAUGAUUUCCCUAGCCCCAGAAAUACAAAGCUCUGAAGAAUAUAUCCAGCUUUUGAAGAAGUUCAUUAGGUCGCCAAACAUACCUCAUCAGUAUUGGCUCACACUUCAGUAUUUGUUAAAAAAUUUCUUCAAGCACUCUCAAGUCUCCAGCAAAAACCUUCUGACUGCAAGAGUGCUCUCAGAAAUAUUUAGCCCUAUGUUUUUCCGAUUUCCAGCACCUAGCUCUGAUAAUACUGAACACCUCGUAAAAGUUAUAGAAAUUUUAAUCUCAACUGAAUGGAAUGAAUGACAGCCUUGCACCAGCAUUGCCUCCUAAACCUCCAAAACCCACUACUGUAGCCAACAACAGUAUGAAUAACAAUAUGUCCUUACAAGAUGCAGAAUGGUACUGGGGAGAUAUCUUGAGGGAAGAAGUGAAUGAAAAACUUGAAGAUACAGCUGAUGGGACCUUUUUGGUACGAGAUGCAUCUACUAAAAUGCAUGGUGAUUAUACUCUUACACUAAGGAAAGGAGGAAAUAACAAAUUAAUCAAAAUAUUUCACCGAGAUGGGAAAUACGGCUUCUCUGAUCCCUUAACCUUCAAUUCUGUGGUUGAACUAAUAAACCACUACAGGAAUGAAUCUCUAGCUCAGUAUAAUCCCAAAUUGGAUGUGAAAUUACUUUAUCCAGUAUCCAAAUAUCAACAGGAUCAAGUUGUCAAAGAAGAUAAUAUUGAAGCUGUAGGGAAAACAAUUACAUGAAUAUAACACUCAGUUUCAAGAAAAAAGUCGGGAAUGUGAUAGAUUAUAUGAAGAAUAUACCCGUACUUCCCAGGAAAUCCAAAUGAAAAGAACAGCUAUUGAAGCAUUUAACGAAACCAUAAAAAUAUUUGAAGAACAGUGCCAAACCCAGGAGCGUUACAGCAAAGAAUAUAUAGAAAAGUUUAAAUGUGAAGGCAAUGAGAAAGAAAUACAAAGGAUCAUGCAUAAUUAUGAUAAGUUAAAGUCUCGGGCGGCCGAAAUUAUUGACAGCAGGAGACGGCUAGAGGAAGAUUUGAAGAAGCAGGCAGCUGAGUACCGAGAGAUUGAUAAACGUAUGAACAGCAUCAAGCCUGACCUCAUUCAGCUGAGAAAGACGAGAGACUAAUACCUGAUGUGGAUGACUCAAAAAGGUGUUCGGCAGAAGAAGUUGAAUGAGUGGCUAGGCAAUGAAAACACUGAGGACCAAUAUUCACUGGUGGAAGAUGAUGAGGAUUUGCCCCACCAUGACCAGAAGAUGUGGAAUGUCGGGAGUAGCAACCGAAACAAAGCGGAAAACCUGUUGCGAGGGAAACCGAACGGCACUUUUCUUGUCCGGGAGAGCAGUAAACAGGGUUGCUACACCUGCUCCGUAGUGGUGGAUGGUGAAGUGAAGCAUUGUGUCAUAAACAAAACAGCAACUGGCUAUGGGUUUGCUGAGCUCUAUAACCUGUACAGCUCUCUGAAGGAACUGGUGCUACAUUACCAACACACCUCUCUCGUGCAGCACGACUCCCUCAACGUCACACUAGCCUACCCAGUAUAUGCACAGCAGAAGCGAUGAAGCGCUUACUCUCGGAUCCUUCUCCUGAAGUUCAACCACCUGAGGCCUCUGGAAAGCAAAGGGCUCCUCUCCAGCCUGACCUGUGAAUUGAGCUGCAGAAAUGAAGCCUUCUGUCUUC